CCGCGAGGCACGCCCUCCCGCCUCCUCUAAUCGCUUGUGGACCCCACCCACACCUCACACGCCGAAGUACCCUGGCCGCGAAUACUCGCACACACACACACACACACACACAUAUAUAUAUAUAUAGGGCACACUGCCCACACCUCUCGCACCCCAUCAAGAGCGAAUGGGGCAGUACACACGCGACGAGUGGUCGCUGUAGCGGCGCUGCUUCGCUGCAUACCCCCCGACGCCACGCGUCGCGCUCGGUGUGCGCGUGCCGGGCUCGGGUCUGGAUGGGCAGUCGCAUGCUCACGGUCUGCGGACCCGAUGGCGAGGAGGUCUCCCUCGACGAGCGCACACGCAUCUCCGUGCAGCUCGCACCCGGGGGCACCCCGGGUGGCUUGGCGCAAGCGCCCAAGACGACGGUUUCAGGAAGCGCAGAGCUUGUCGGCGCAGAUGCAGUCCACGCUGGCGCACCGGGCACAUGUAGCGAUGGCAGGGCCGGGCUGUGUCUUCUACGUAGCCUCCCUCACCCCCCAGGCUCCGGCAGAAUACGUGCGCUCAGCUUGUCAGCCCGACGAGGCGCAGUGCCUCAGGGGCGGCUACUGACGCACGCGGGGAGGGCGAAGGGGUGACGCCUGCGAAGGGGGCGCGUUGGAGGCGGGGGCCUCUCACUACCGUUUCGUGAGUAGAACCACCGAACCCAAAGCCGCAGCGAACCGCCAAACAUCCGAGGGGAGAGCGCGCUCCCCCCUCACCCGCGGGGGGCAUUCAAGUGGACGUGUGUGCACGGCUGCCCGUCCUCCCCCCUCUCCCCGCUGAGUGGCCGGUUGAGGGGCACUCCCGCAACGUUCUCUCUCUCACCCUCCUGUCGGAGGCAAUGGAGGGAUGUGCCGGUGUGCGCAUCUGCCUGCCCUUCCUAGCCCGUCUUCCGCUCUUUCUGUCGGUCUCCGUCUCUUCAUCGUUUUCUCGCCACUUCAACGGAGGCAUUCCCAACACAAUUUUUUGGCUCCCCUGUGCCACUGCCAGCUGUGCGUCUUUCUCUCUGUAUCGACGCUUGUGCUCGCAUGUGAGCUGCGCGCGAGCAGGCUCAGCGACACCCUCUCCUGCCAGUAAUGACCGCUCUGUGUAUUUCUCCAUGCCACUGUGCUCUCUCGCUCUCCGCACCCCAUGUGCCCCGCCUUCUUUUCUCGCGCUUGUGCGUGUGUGCGUUUGUCGUCUGCCGAGGUUGCUGUUCAGCCCUCGUGGCCGAAUCCUCUCCUACACGCGCACACAUGCUCAUGUGUGCACGCUUCGUCACCCGCCUCGCCACCCGCCGGUGGGUACUCGGUCCUCCUGUGCUUUUUUUUUGUCCCUCUUUCUCUUGUGCCGGCAUUGCUUCUUCAGCUCGCGCCCUCUCCCUGCCCAUCUGUCUCCCACCCGUCACUCCUAGAGGCUCAGCUCGCCUCCGAUUUUGCAACUUGAGCUGUGGAAGAUGCAGCACCGCGCCAACCAAUGCGUGCGCAGCAGGCAGGAUGUCUUUUCCUUUCGUUUGCACCUAUGCUUAUAUCGGUGCGUCUCUUCGUGUGCUGGUCUACUCGUCUGGGGAGUCUCUCUCGAGGGAACGCGAGAGGCAGGGGGGAGAGGUGGGACGUGGAAGGGCCGAUGAGGGAGCGAUGCAGCCAAGAGAGGGGGCGUGCCCGAGCUACCGAAGCGCACAGGCAAGUCGCACCAAGAAAAAAAACGCAAAAGGGCACAAGGGGAGCGAUGAUGAUGUCGGCAGAGCAGGGGCAGGUGGAGAAAAACUCCUGCCCCCUCCCUUUGCUGCACCCUUCCCCAAAUCCGUGGAGUAUUUAUUCUUUGAUUUUGGAGUAUGACAGGGUGAGCAGGGGGAGGUGCUGCUCAUACGCGCGCUUUCUUCUUGUGCGCUCGCACAUGUGACGCACUGCUUGCUGAUCCUCCUCUCUCUUCUCGUCUUCACUCCACUGCCACUUCCCUGUCGUUUGGUUGUCGUGCUGGCUGCACUCGCUUCUCUCAG
rnacentral:misc_RNA from 1 species